rnacentral:rRNA from 1 species
UCCAGCCAUGCCGCGUGAGUGAAGAAGGCCUUAGGGUCGUAAAGCUCUUUCGCUAGGGAUGAUAAUGACAGUACCUAGUAAAGAAACCCCGGCUAACUCCGUGCCAGCAGCCGCGGUAAUACGGAGGGGGUUAGCGUUGUUCGGAAUUACUGGGCGUAAAGCGCGCGUAGGCGGAUUGGAAAGUUGGGGGUGAAAUCCCAGGGCUCAACCCUGGAACUGCCUUCAUAACUAACAGUCUAGAGUUCGAGAGAGGUGGGUGGAAUUCCGAGUGUAGAGGUGGAAUUCGUAGAUAUUCGGAGGAACACCAGUGGCGAAGGCGGCUCACUGGCACUCUAAAGAAACUGCCCGUGAUAAGCGGGAGGAAGGUGUGGAUGACGUCAAGUCCUCAUGGCCCUUACGGGUUGGGCUACACACGUGCUACAAUGGUGGUGACAAUGGGUUAAUCCCAAAAAGCCAUCUCUAGUUCGGAUUGGGGUCUGCAACUCGACCCCAUGAAGUCGGAAUCGCUAGUAAUCGCGUAACAGCAUGACGCGGUGAAUACGUUCCCGGGCCUUGUACACACCGCCCGUCACACCAUGGGAGUUGGUUUUACCCGACGACGGUGCGCUAACCCUUACGGGAAGCAGCCGCCCACGGUAGGAUCAG